CUAGAGUGAUGCCUACAAGUCCCCAGUCAUUGUCUUAAACCUAUAGUCACCUUCAAUUCCAGAGAAAGCAGAGCUUUGUGAGCCCCUCAUGGUGAAGUCACCCUCUGAGUAGGAGCAGUUACCCCAUAUGGGACCCACAGUUGGCCCCUAAGUGGGCACCAUCAUCUCAUGAUAGCAACUGAAUCAUCCCCUCAGGUGACAAAAGCUGUCCCCAGACUUCAUAGAACCAGUCCUGAGACACCCAUCAACCAACCUUGACCAGGAUGACCUACAAGCCUUGCAUUCAAUAAAAUCCCAAGACUUUUGCCAUCAGUUCCUGGAAGAUCCUGGACUCAUGGCAUGGGAACAGCGAAUCAAACCUGCAGACACAUGGUGACUACUGGCGACCCCAGAGGCCUUCACAGAGAAAAGCACCAGUGGAAGGGAGCAAUGGACACAGUGGACUCCAGUGGCCGAAUUGAAGUACUUACAUGACACAGAACACCUGAAGAAAUUCAUGACCACCAAGCCAGCAUUCCAAAGUAUUCUGAAGAGCUGGGGAUUUAACUCAGUGGUUCUGCUGCCUGCCUCACAAGUGC
ensembl:lncRNA